rnacentral:rRNA from 1 species
UACGAAGGGUGCAAACGUUGCUCGGAAUUAUUGGGCGUAAAGCGCACGUAGGCGGCUCUAUAAGUCGGAUGUGAAAUCCCUCGGCUCAACCAAGGAAGUGCAUUCGAAACUGUAGAGCUUGAGUAGUUAAGAGGAUCGCGGAAUUCCCGGUGUAGAGGUGAAAUUCGUAGAUAUCGGGAGGAACACCAGUGGCGAAGGCGGCGAUCUGGGAACAUACUGACGCUGAGGUGCGAAAGCGUGGGGAGCGAACCGG